rnacentral:rRNA from 1 species
AACGAACGCUGGCGGCAUGCCUAACACAUGCAAGUCGAACGAGACCUUCGGGUCUAGUGGCGCACGGGUGCGUAACGCGUGGGAACCUGCCCUUAGGUUCGGAAUAACUCCCCGAAAGGGGUGCUAAUACCGGAUAAUGUCUUCGGACCUAAGAUUUAUCGCCUUUGGAUGGGCCCGCGUUGGAUUAGCUAGUUGGUAGGGUAAAAGCCUACCAAGGCGACGAUCCAUAGCUGGUCUGAGAGGAUGAUCAGCCACACUGGGACUGAGACACGGCCCAGACUCCGACGGGAGGCAGCAGUGGGGAAUAUUGGACAAUGGGCGAAAGCCUGAUCCAGCAAUGCCGCGUGAGUGAUGAAGGCCUUAGGGUUGUAAAGCUCUUUUACCCGGGAUGAUAAUGACAGUACCGGGAGAAUAAGCUCCGGCUAACUCCGUG